rnacentral:rRNA from 1 species
AGUGAAAAAGAACCUGAAACCGUGUACGUACAAGCAGUGGGAGCCCCACCACUAAGCCAGUGGUGAACUCCACAUACGCAUCCUUUGCUGAGGAUACGGUUAACGGAGCGAAAGCGACGUUCAACCGCAAAAGAAGCAGAGGGGGCUUAGUGGUGGGG